GGGGUCCCCUGGACCAUGGAGACCAGGCUUGGGGUUUGUGGGUGGGGAAUGUCCUGACAGACCCUCAACUUUUUCCCAGAUCGCCUGGGGGCAGGUGGUAUACUGUUGGGGGAAGUCAGGCUUCCUUCCGGGGGCUCCUCGUGGCAGUGCCUUACCAUCCCCUGGCACCAAGCUUCAAUCCUCAGAGUCUCAUGACCUAGUGCCCAUGUGGCCAAUGGGGGAAGGUUGCAAGGUGGAGCCGCCAGCCUUGAUUGCAAAAGCAGGUGUGAGUAGGGAGCCUGCAAUCCCACCCAGCCCAGGAUACUGGCAUGACCCCCAGCCUUCAUCAGAUGGGUGUUGGGUGUUCUAGGGCAGCCACCAUGCUACCACAGGGAGUCCAGGUGUGGUGCAGAGGGGUGGGCUCGAUGGUGAGGCGAGGUGGGCAGGCAAGUGCUGUGACUCGGUGCAAUGACCCAGUUAUUUCCAAAAGGAAAAGGCAAAGCUUUGCUAGGCUGUACCAUCAUUGGGCAGUCCACAGGGAGAACCCAGGCAGACCUGUGCUAGUGGGUGUCCCCAGAACAGGGGUUCAAGCAGAAGUAGGGACCCCAGCUUCCUCUCUGGGUUUCAGACCCAAACCAAGACUGCCUUACUCCAGAAUCUGACUGUAACACCCGAUUACUGACACCCCCCUCCCCCAAACCCAGCAUGAUGAAAUCCAUGACUAGGGAGCAGAAAAGUGACCUGUGAGGAGCCUGCUGCCCGAUUCUCACUCUUCAAGGGAGGAGAUACUAUAGCCUAUGGGAGCAAGUCACCUGGCUAAAGAGGACCAGAGGCAGCUCAGUCCCUUGAGCUGGGAAGUGAGUCUCCCGUUGUCAGGAAGAUGGUGGGGGUUCUGGCGCUGUCUCCUGGUGUGAAUACCAGGGCUGUGGUGCAGGGCAUAAAAGAAUAGAGAUUGGGUCCCUGAGUCUGGAGAACUGGAGUCAGUCUGGGCAGACCAGGGACACAGCAGGGGUGACCAGGGGCCUCAGCAGCACUUGCUGCUGGGUAGAAAUUGUAACAGUCAAAGAAUGUUGUUGGCUUGCGUGAGGCUAAGAGAGGCUGCCCAGGUCCUUAGAGAGAGGCAGCCAGCCCAGGAGCAGGGCAGGGCCUCAGCCUAAAAACCCAGGCUCCUUUCUGAACACCCCUGGACCUUCUCCCACAGCAGCUAGACAGGUAGGCCAGGGACAUUAGAUCCUAAAGCUCCUGGAGAGAUAAGUCUCCCCUUAUCUCUGUCUGUGUCUCCUUAUCUCUGAUUGGAUGACAUCCAGGCAGUAUGUAACAAAACUGCACAGUUGAAGUGCCACAGCACCGUGGCACACAACCAUACAAGGCUGGAGGCCCUCUGACCCCUGAGGUCAGUCUUGGAGAGAUUGAUGCAACAUCCAGCCUUUUAAAGUGCUCCCAAGAGUUCAAAUGGGGAGUGGUUUUCAGGACAAGCUAUACAACCAAAUCUAAAGUGCUUCCCAACCUGGGCACCAAAAUCAAGUGUAGGAGUCUGCCCUGUCUGAAAACUAUCUGCUAUACAUCUGACCCAGCCCCUGAGAAGCAGAGGUAGGUGAAGCAAGAGUUGAAGGCCAUCCUUGACUAAUGGUAAGUUCGAAGCCAGCCCAAGGUAUAGAAGACCCUGGCCUCCAAACAAACAAAAACCACCCUACAAACCUCCCUCAGGUACUAGGCUCUGGGUUUGGUGGACAGGGUAGUCUUGCCAGCUUGGAAGAGAGUGGGAGUCCAUGGGCCAUCCACCUUCCCAAAGUCUGCCCCAAGCUCCAGGCUGGCUGGGCUCUGAGGAUGGGCCCCCACACUCUCAGCAGAGGCAUCUCCUGAGCCUCUCCCUCCUCUCCUCCCCCUUUACUGCCUGGCUGUCAUUGCAGCCACUGCAGGGCCAGACAGCUGAGGCCCAAUUGGUAAGAAGGUGACAGGCUGGGCCCCAGAAGAGAGGAGAGCUCCUUCCCUGACCUCUGACCCACUGUCCCAGCCAGCUCCUGGGAACUGAGCUUGCUGCUGAGUAUGCAGUCAUCCCUUAACUGUGGAGGGACAGGUUUCUGGAACUACCACCGGGGGCACCCUUCACCUUGAGACCCAGCAGGAGAGGGCCAUCUCUACCUGCCCAACCCUUGCUCUCAUUCUGCUCCUGCGGAGCAACCGUCUCCAGCCAGUCCCAGCUGCCUGUGCCGGUCACCCGAUCCACCCUGUAGCCCUGCAAACUUUAUGGACAAGAGGGGUCAAGGUGGGAGAGACACCCUUGCAGAGUUCUUGGUGGAGUGUGGGAAGGCAGCCGUGUCAGCUCUGCCGUGUCAGCCUCAGAGACUUCUAGAACCUGAGAAGAGG